UAACAAAUAAUGACGUGACAUAAAUAUUUCUUCAAACUCACAAUUUUAAAGUUGUGAGAAAAUUGUGAGUUUGAAGAAACAUUUCUUUCACGUCAUUAUCU